GGAAAGGAGAGUAAACUUGGGAUUUGUGGAGCAUACACUAGUCUCCACCUAGCCUGACCAAAUUCACCUUUUCCUUCGAUUCUGGGCAUUAGUUUCUCAAGCGUAGCAGUUGCAAGCUUCUUCAAGGCUAAUUGGCCAUCGCCCUCCAAUAUUGAUUCUGCCAAUUGGUUCUCAAAUGCCCGAGCAGCCUCGGUGGGUGAGAGAGCAUCUUGUUC
rnacentral:misc_RNA from 1 species